AUACGAAGGGGGCUAGCGUUGUUCGGAUUUACUGGGCGUAAAGCGCACGUAGGCGGAUUGGUCAGUUAGGGGUGAAAUCCCAGAGCUCAACUCUGGAACUGCCCUUAAUACUGCCAAUCUCGAGUCCGGAAGAGGUGAGUGGAACUCCUAGUGUAGAGGUGGAAUUCGUAGAUAUUAGGAAGAACACCAGUGGCGAAGGCGGCUCACUGGUCCGGUACUGACGCUGAGGUGCGAAAGCGUGGGGAGC
rnacentral:rRNA from 1 species